GCACAUCUGUGCUCAGCCUUACAGCUGGUUAAAUACUGCCUACCUGCUUCCCUCUUCGCCAGAUUUGCUCUGUGCUUUGUUUUUUUCAUCUUUUGCAUAAUCCCUUGUACUGCAGCUCCAGGAUGCUGGAACAAAUGAACUCAGGAUCAGUAAUAAGUUCCUCAAACACCAAGUUCAAAACCUCCAAGAAGAAGACUCCUCCUGAAGUGAAGGCUUUAAGUUACAAGUGGGUUUAACAUACAGAUUUGCAACACCCUGAUGGAGCAUUAACUGAAAUCUUCAGAAAAAACAUUUACAUUGUCACUGGAAAAGGUGUUUGGACUACGAGGCUAGAUCCCAGCAGAUGACAGACACAUUUCUCAGCCUGUGCCAAGCACAAGUUCGGGUUCAAGUUGCCCUGAUUAGGAGCUGAAGGUUCCUCAGAAGGGAAGAAUGAGAGUGUCUGCCGGUGAAAGAAAACUUUCAGAAAUCAGAUGUGGGUCCUUUGCAGCCUGCCCAACAAUUUUAAGUGCUCUUAAAGACCCCUUCAUUACGGGCUUGAGGAAAUUAAAGCUUUAAAAUCACUGAGAAAGCCUGUGUGAGAGGGCUGAAGGAGGGAGUUCUGGGUGCAUUCGGAGUGGCACUCAGGCACAUAACACUUGGAGAGACCAAGCCACAGCUGCCAUUUGGUGUAGCAUUCUGUAACUGGUUCCUAGGCAGGGCAGGCAACCUCAGCAUCAGAACUGGUUGAUCUAAAGGAAUUUUCUAAUGAGUGAUCUGCAGAGAAAUUUAAAAGGGUGGAAACACACUGAGUGAAACAAAAAAACAUAAGAGGCAGAUCUUGAAAAAGGCUGUCCAGCUCUGGAAGCACUGACACUGGCUGCCUUUAAGCUACUUCUAAAGGAAGACUAAUCACUAACCAGGUGACUGUUGCAUGCUGCAGAUGGAUUGUUCUCAAUGAACUUUUCUUCUGCAAAGUCUGGACCAGGAUUUGGAAAGGACACCUAGAGAUUAACAAAGCAUCUGCUAUUGUUCACUCAUUUACAUCAUCAAAUAUUUGCUCUGCAUACUAUGGGAAAAAUAAGAAGACACAGAUUUCUCCAGGACACUUUAAUGGCUGAUGAUAAUAAGGCGUGAAGUUAACAAUGGUAGCAAAAGAGUAUGUGACUUUGGAGUUUGUGAUCAUAGGAACUAUGUAUGACCACAAAGAGGUGCCACGUUAUCAAGGAGAAGCUUCACACUACUCCUGAUUCUUUAUUUAUAACUGUACAAAUACUGUUUUUUUCCCAUGUUAGAUCAGUGAUUUGCAGUCCAGAGAUGGGUACAGUUCUGCUGUUGCUACUGGAAGCUGAUGUAUUCCUCCGCCUAUGGCCUUUAAGGACACUUGAGUAUUUCAGAGCCUGAAGGACAAUGCUUUUUCUCUGGCAGGCACCUUCAUCACAGGUUAUGAAGCAUUUUUUAACUGGCUAGUACGUUCAUAUAUAUUUCAUCUUCCUUCUGAUUAGGCUAUGUGGAGACCUCCAAAGACCGUGAGCAGGAAGGAAAUCAACAGGGUGCUGCUGUUUUUAAAGAUCUGACCAUUAGCAUUGCAAAAUGUAGAAGGUACUGCAACAAAGUAGGAUUGAGAAAAAAGUCUUACAGAUCUGUGGGGAAGAGUAAAGAGGGAGGAUAAAAAAAAAAUAAAGAAAUUCUUGAAUAACUCUGGGGCUGUGAUAUCACCUAAGUUGUGUAAAGUUGAGGGAAACUUUUUAUCCUAAAUAUGACAAAGCAUUCUCAAAAGCAAAGCAAUGAUCUGCAGAUCUCGAGAAGACAAAUGAAGACACAAAAGUGUAGGUGAGAAAAAUGCUACAGGAAUGAAAGGAAGCAGCAGAUUUUUAUUCUUCCAAAAGACACAACCACACUUCU